GUUAAAGUAUAACAGAUCAUAAUUUAAUUAGUAGAAUAUCUUCUUUGGGAGAAGAUUAUGUGAGUGCAAAUCUCUCUGAUCUGAUAUUUUGGGUAUAAUAAUCCGAAUGUUAGAACUUUUAGAAAUAUAGUCUUUCUAUUUAUGUAGUUGUUGUUAGAACAAAAGCUAUUAUAAGAAAGAAAAAUGAUAUAUAAGUAUUACUUGUAAUUAUAUAAGUAUAUAAAGAAACUAUUAUGGAAUUUAAGCUAUGUAUUAAAGAGAAUUAUUUAUAUAUAUAGAGAUAUUAUAUCCUAUAAUUAUAUAAACUCUAAGAGAAAUCUAAUAUUAAACGAAGUGAAUUGAAAUAUCUUAGUAACUUCAGGAAAAGAAAUCAAAAGAGAUUCUAUGAAUAGCGUGAGCGAAAGUAGAGUAGCCUAUAAAGUAGAACGGUUUUAAAACUGUUUAAAUAUAAUGGGGAACCUUCCUCAAAGGCUAAAUAUAAUACAUAAGCGAUAGUGAAAAGUACCAUGAGGGAACAAAAACAAAAAUAGUAGUUUUAUAAGCAGUUCGAUAAAAAGAACGUACCUUUUGCAUAAUGGGUCACCAAGUUAACGUUAGAUGCGAGUAUGCGCGUAGUUAAACCGAACGUUAAAAUAACGAAAUAGUGUCUAAAGUUAGACCCGAAGCACGGUGAUUUUACCAUGGUCAGGAUUAUAAAAGUCCGAACGGGUGAUUGUAGCAAAAAUCUCCGAAGAACUGUGGUAGGUGUAGUGAAAGACAACACUGACUGUGAUAGCUGGUUUUCUGCGAAACCUAUAAUAGUAGGCAAUUUAAGUAAAUAUCUUAGCAGGUACAGAAUUUAAUCUCAGACAAGAUGUGUAAACAUUUUAUAUUGUACAGAUUGGGGAAUCAUGAAGAUUUUAUCAGUGAGUAUGUAGACUCGGAAUGGCAAAGAUAUGUCUUAAAUUAUCAGACAUAGAAUGAUAAGGUUGUAUGUCGAAAGGGAAACAGCCCAGAACAAGAGUUAAGGUUCCUAAAUUAUUAGUUAAGUGAAAUUAAGAAGGUUUUUAUUAAAGUCGACAAGGAGAUAGGCUUAGAAGCAGCCAUAAUUUUAUGACCUCGUAACAGAGCGCUUGUUAAGUUAUAAAAGCAUCGAAAAUUUAACGGAUCUAAACAAUAUACCGAAACCUUGUCCAUAAUAUAUUAUAUUAAUUAAAUUUAAUGUAAUUUAAUGGGGUAGCAGAACGUUGAGCUAGAUUAUGAUUUCUAUUUUUUAAAUAGAAUUAUAUUAAUUUAACUCAAGUGAGAAUGGUGACAUGAGUAACGAAAAGAAAAUUUUCCGCCUUAAGCUUAUGGAUAUAAUUAAGUAACGGCCUCUAAGUUUAUAUUAUCUAAAGAUUUAAACGAUGAGAAAAUCUUUUUUACUAAGGACAACAUUUUAGUGUAAAAUGUGCUGGAAAAAUAGUAAAUAUAUUUGUUAUUUUAUAACAAAUGAACAAUAACCGUACCUAGAAUCUGAAACAAGUAAGCUAGUAGAGAAUACGAAGGCGUAAAUGAGCUAACAAUCAUAAAGGAACUCGGCAAAUUGACUACCGUAACUUCGGAAUAAGGAGGGCUCAUUAUUCUUGAUUAAUAUCAAGUAAAGAGGAAGAAGCAUGAAAUAAUGUUGUACGACUGUUUAAUUAAAACACAGCACUUUGCUGAAAGAUUAAAAAUCUAUGUAUAAAGUGUGAUAUCUGCCCGGUGCCGGCUGGUUAACAGAGAUAAUUGAAUAUACUACUAUUUGAUGUCGACGGAAACCCCGGUUAAAGGCGGCCUUAACGUGAGGGUCCUAAGGUAGCGAAAUGCCUUGGCCGUUAAAUGCGGUCUUGCAUGAAUGGUGUAACGAUACAACAGCUGUCUCUAUGAUUGACUCAGUGAAAUUGGAAUAGCUGUGCAGAUACAGCUUACCUCUAGUUAGACGAGAAGACCCUAUGCAGCUUUACUGUCACUAAUUAUAGAAUAUGAUAGACAAUUUUCAGAAUAUAAGGUAAUUGAUGAUAUGACAAUGAGAAUCCUUUAUUUUUCUUUCAUAUGAAUGAAUUGGUUUAGGAUUAUGAGUAGAUUGUAAUUAAUGUGGCUUUUUACUGAGUCAUUUUAAUACAUUAAUUAUAAUCUUUAAAUUAUUAUAUAGCUCAUUUUAGUAAAUCAGCCUAAUUCAACUUAUUAUUUUAGAAUAGUAAGUACCCUUUGGCAAGGAACUAUCGCUAGGGGACAGUUUAUGUGGGGCACAGACCCUGUAAAGAGUAAACAGGAGUGUCUAAUAAUUAUAAAUUAUUUUGUUUGCUAUUUUGAGUAGUAAGCGUAAGCUACAACUAUUUUUAAUCAUAUAUAAUUAUUUAUAUUUGCAUUUAUUGUAAAUAUAUUUAAGUUUAGGUAAGAUUUUUACUAUAUAGAAAUUAGGGAUAAUUGAAAAUAUUAUGAAAUCUUUCUAAUGUUUUCUAGCUAUUAUUUUUGAUAGUUAUGUAUUUAAUAUCUAAAAAGCUCAACGGCUAAAUCUUGCCUUACUGUUUGAUUAUCUACAAAUCUUACAGUUGCGUAAGCAGGGCAUAGGAUCACAAGAUGCAAUAAGGAAAGAUCUUGGAUUAUUGGAAAAGCUACGCUAGGGAUGUUUGUCCUUUAAUAUUUUAUUUUUAUUAGUAAGUUAUGCAUUAAUUAUAUGCAAACUUAAACUA
rnacentral:rRNA from 1 species